UACGAAGGGUGCUAGCGUUGUUCGGAAUCACUGGGCGUAAAGCGCACGUAGGCGGAUUGUUAAGUCGGGGGUGAAAUCCUGAGGCUCAACCUCAGAACUGCCUUCGAUACUGGCAAUCUCGAGUCCGGAAGAGGUUGGUGGAACAGCUAGUGUAGAGGUGAAAUUCGUAGAUAUUAGCUAGAACACCAGUGGCGAAGGCGGCCAACUGGUCCGGUACUGACGCUGAGGUGCGAAAGCGUGGGGAGCAAACAGG
rnacentral:rRNA from 1 species